UACAGAGGUCUCAAGCGUUGUUCGGAUUCAUUGGGCGUAAAGGGCGUGUAGGUGGCGCCGUAAGUCGGGCGUGAAAUUUCGGAGCUUAACUCCGAAACUGCAUUCGAUACUGCGGUGCUUGAGGACUGGAGAGGAGACUGGAAUUCAUGGUGUAGCAGUGAAAUGCGUAGAGAUCAUGAGGAAGACCAGUGGCGAAGGCGGGUCUCUGGACAGUAACUGACGCUGAGGAGCGAAAGCGUGGGGAGCGAACAGG
rnacentral:rRNA from 1 species